rnacentral:rRNA from 1 species
UCUACGGGCGGCAGCAGUAAGGAAUAUUGGACAAUGGGCGCAAGCCUGAUCCAGCCAUGCCGCGUGAAGGAUUAAGGUCCUCUGGAUUGUAAACUUCUUUUAUAAGGGACGAAAAAAGGGAAUUCUUUCUCACUUGACGGUACCUUAUGAAUAAGCACCGGCUAACUCCGUGCCAGCAGCCGCGGUAAUA